rnacentral:rRNA from 1 species
GACGAACGCUGGCGGCGUGCUUAACACAUGCAAGUCGAGCGAGGGAGUUCUCUUCGGAGAACGAUCUAGCGGCGGACGGGUGAGUAACACGUGGGCAACCUGCCUUGUAGAGGGGGAUAGCCUUCAGAAAGGAAGAUUAAUACCGCAUAACAAAAUAUUAUCGCAUGGUGAACUUUUUAAAGGAGUGAAUCAGCUACAAGAUGGGCCCGCGUCGAAUUAGCUAGUUGGUGAGGUAACGGCUCACCAAGGCGACGAUGCGUAGCCGACCUGAGAGGGUGAUCGGCCACAUUGGAACUGAGACACGGUCCAGACUCCUACGGGAGGCAGCAGUGGGGAAUAUUGCACAAUGGGGGAAACCCUGAUGCAGCAACGCCGCGUGAGUGAUGACGGCCUUCGGGUUGUAAAGCUCUAUCAUUAGGGACGAAAUUGACGGUACCUAAUGAGGAAGCCACGGCUAACUACGUGCCAGCAGCCGCGGUAA